rnacentral:rRNA from 1 species
CCUACGGGAGGCAGCAGUGGGGAAUUUUCCGCAAUGGGCGCAAGCCUGACGGAGCAAUACCGCGUGCGGGAGGAAGGCCCUUGGGUCGUAAACCGCUUUUAACAGGGAAGAAGUUCUGACGGUACCUGUUGAAUAAGCCUCGGCUAACUCCGUGCCAGCAGCCGCGGUAAGACGGAGGAGGCAAGCGUUAUCCGGAAUUAUUGGGCGUAAAGCGUCCGCAGGUGGCCUUUCAAGUCUGCUGUUAAAGCCCAGGGCUCAACUCUGGAUCAGCAGUGGAAACUGAAAGGCUAGAGUACGGUAGGGGUAGAGGGAAUUCCCAGUGUAGCGGUGAAAUGCGUAGAUAUUGGGAAGAACACCAGUGGCGAAGGCGCUCUGCUGGGCCGUAACUGACACUCAUGGACGAAAGCUAGGGGAGCGAAAGGGAUUAGAUACCCCUGUAGUCCUAGCUGUAAACGAUGGACACUAGGUGUUGGCCGUAUCGACCCGGUCAGUGCCGUAGCCAACGCGUUAAGUGUCCCGCCUGGGGAGUACGCACGCAAGUGUGAAACUCAAAUGAAUUGACGG